GGAGGAAGGUGGGGAUGACGUCAAAUCAUCAUGCCCCUUAUGACCUGGGCUACACACGUGCUACAAUGGUUGGUACAACGAGUUGCGAGUCGGUGACGGCGAGCUAAUCUCUUAAAGCCAAUCUCAGUUCGGAUUGUAGGCUGCAACUCGCCUACAUGAAGUCGGAAUCGCUAGUAAUCGCGGAUCAGCACGCCGCGGUGAAUACGUUCCCGGGCCUU
rnacentral:rRNA from 1 species